CCUACGUGUGGCUGCAGUGAGGAAUAUUGGUCAAUGGGCGCGAGCCUGAACCAGCGAAGCAGCGUGAAGGAUGACUGCCCUACGGGUUGUAACCUUCUUUUAUAAAGGAAUAAAGUGAGGCACGUGUGCCUUUUUGUAUGUACUUUAUGCAUAAGGGUCGGCUAACUUCGUGCCAGCGGCCGCGGUAAUACGGAGGAUCCGAGCGUUAUCUGGAUUUAGUGGGUUUAAAGGGAGCGUAGAUGGGUUGUUAAGUCAGUUGGGAAAGUUUGCGGCUCAACCGUAAAAUUGCAAUUGAUACUGGCAGUCUUGAGUAGAGUUGAGGUAGGUGGAAUUCGUGGUGUAGCAGUGAAAUGCUUAGAUAUCACGAAGAACUCCGAUUGCGAAGGCAGCUUUCUAAACUGCCACUGACAUUGAUGCGCGAAAGUGUGGGUAUCAAACAGGAUUAGAGACCCUUGUAGUC
rnacentral:rRNA from 1 species